rnacentral:tRNA from 1 species
CCUGGUGGCUGAGAGGUUAAAGUGCCUGCCUGCAAUGUGGGAGACCUGGGUUCGAUUCCUGGGUCAGGA